AACGAACGCUGGCGGCGUACCUAACACAUGCAAGUCGAACGAGAAAUUCCGAUUCGUCGGGAAAGUAAAGUGGCGAACGGGUGAGUAAUAUGAGGGUAAUCUACCUUUGAAUUAGGGAUAACUUUGCGAAAGCGAAGAUAAUACCUGAUAAGACUACAGUCUCUUAGGAGACAGUAGGAAAAGGUGGCCUCUGUCUCAUGCUAUCGUUUAUGGAUGAGCCCUCAUACUAUUAGCUUGUUGGUGAGGUAAUGGCUCACCAAGGCUACGAUGGUUAGCUGGUCUGAGAGGAUGAUCAGCCACACUGGUACUGAGACACGGACCAGACUCCUACGGGAGGCAGCAGUGAGGAAUAUUGGUCAAUGGGGGGAACCCUGAACCAACCAUGCCGCGUGCAGGAAGACGGCCUUCUGGGUUGUAAACUGCUUUUAUGCGGGAGCAAAAAGGUCCUGCGGGACAAAUUGAGAGUACCGUAUGAAUAAGCACCGCUAAC
rnacentral:rRNA from 1 species